GCGCAGCAGGCGAGAAACUUUACAAUGUGCGAAAGCACGAUAAGGGAACUCUGAAUGCCUCCUAAGGAGGCUGUUCAGGUGUCUAAAAGCACCUGGAGUAAGGGCUGGGUAAGACCGGUGCCAGCCGCCGCGGUAACACCGGCAGCCCAGGUGGUAGCCACUUUUAUUGGGUCUAAAGCGUCCGUAGCCGGUUGAGUAAGUUCCUUGGGAAAUUUGGCUGCUCAACAGUCAAGCUUCCAGGGAAUACUGCUCGACUUGGGACUGGGAGAGGUCAGAGGUACUCCAGGGGUAGGGGUGAAAUCCAUUAAUCCCUGGGGGACCACCGGUAGCGAAGGCGUCUGACCAGACCAGGUCCGACGGUGAGGGACGAAGGCUAGGGUCGCGAACCGGAUUAGAUACCCGGGUAGU
rnacentral:rRNA from 1 species